UGCUCUGCCUGCACGGGGUUGCUUGUGGACGUAAACGGUUUCCCUGUGCCGGCGUCAGAGGACUUUCCCUUUGGCUCUGGAGGAGAAUGUUCCGCAGUCUUUGGUUCAGCAGCUCCGAUCCUGAAAGUGCUGUCUUCAAUAUUCCGCCUCUCUUGUUGUUCUUGUGACAGGUUGGGUUCUUCCCGAGCGAGUGUGUGGAACUGAUUAAGGACAAAGUUCCGCAGUCCCUCAUCGAUUUGGUGCCAAAGCCAGUGUCGAAGAAACACGGCAAGAUCAUCACCUUCCUUCGUUCACUCGUGAAGGCCCGCAUAAAGAAAGCGGAGCAGCGGGAGACGGUGAAGGAAAGGGUGUUUGGAUGUGACCUGGCCGAGCAUCUUCUCCACUCUGGCCACGAUGUCCCCCAGGUCGUCAGGAGCUGCGCGGAAUUCAUUGAGCAGCACGGCGUGGUGCGGGGGAUAUACCGGCUGUCCGGCGUCGCCUCCAGGAUCCAGAAGCUGCGGUAAGAGUGCUGCGAGUGGCAGUCAGUUGUCAGACUAAGUGUGAGAAGGUCUUGGCAAAAAGGAGAGGUCUCCUUUUGGAAACUUGUCAUCUGGCAUGGCUCCCGUGGCAUUGGUGACUGUUUCU